GGAGAGUUGGCCGAGCGGUCGAAGGCGCACGCCUGGAAAGUGUGUAUACGGCAACGUAUCAAGGGUUCGAAUCCCUUAUUCUCCGCCA
rnacentral:tRNA from 1 species